rnacentral:lncRNA from 1 species
UUUGAUUCUUCUCAGUGCAUCCUCCGUCAAGGUAGUGGAAUACUGACUGUCCUAAAAUUUUCAUGCACCACUUUGCUAAGCACUUUUCCAGGUUAUAUGUGGGCACUUUUUGUUUUUCUACUAUGGGUCUGGUGGUGAUCGAGCAUUUGUGCGUUUUGACAAAUGCAAACAACCUUAAGCAUGCCAGGUCUGUAAUCUUCUUAUGUCUCCAUGCCUGUGGGAAUGCCUUGUCUCUCACAGUUCUAUCUACAGAUCUCACUAAGGCCACGGUUGGGUGUCUGGCUAGGUGCUGUGGUUUUGAUUCAUCUAUAUAAGAUUUCAAAAAAUCAUCAUAGGUGGUUUCAUGCAUUAUUACCAUCUUCUUAGUUUUGUCUUCUCUGGUGAUUUUCAGCCUGUUCUGCUUUGCCCAUGUUGUGAUUUUCUUAAUAAGGUUACGUUCAAUUUUUCUAUCUUUAUUUGUUUUAUUUCUUUGAUGUUGUGUCGUUGCAUCUCUUAAGUACUGCCAUCUUAGUCAUUGUUUGAUAUUAUUGGAUUCCUGUAAAUUGAGGAGUAGGUCUUCUAUUAUUGGCACAUCAUCUAGGAAGUAUAUCAUAUUUACCUUGCAUUCUUUUAGGAAAGUCCAGGUCUCGAAUGCCUUAGACCACUUUAAGAGUGUUUUCGAGUAUUCUUUAAGAAGCUGAAAGUUGCUAAGCUUAUACCGAUGCACAACCCACCCUAUGUCUGUGCUGGCCUUGGGCGUCGGAGCGGCUAGCAUCUUGGGGAUGCAUUCUGGAGCCACC